GCCUUGUUAGCGCAGUAGGUAGCGCGUCAGUCUCAUAAUCUGAAAAUCGUGAGUUUGAUCCUCACACAGGGCA
rnacentral:tRNA from 1 species